rnacentral:tRNA from 1 species
UCCUGUGUAGCUCAGUCGGUAAAGCAUCUGCCUGCAAUGCGGGAGAUCUGGGUGCAAUUCCUGGGUCGGGAA